rnacentral:piRNA from 1 species
UCACUUUGCUGGCACAGGGGCACUGC